GCGCCCGUAGCUCAGUUGGAUCAGAGUACCUGGCUACGAACCAGGUGGUCGGAGGUUCGAAUCCUUCCGGGCGCGCCA
rnacentral:tRNA from 1 species